rnacentral:rRNA from 1 species
GGAGCGAACGCUGGCGGCAGGCCUAACACAUGCAAGUCGAGCGCCCGUAGCAAUACGGGAGCGGCAGACGGGAUAGUAACACGUGGGAACGCGCCCUUCGGUUCGGAAUAACUCAGGGAAACUUGAGCUAAAUACCGGAUACGCCCUUACGGGGAAAGAUUUAUUGCCGAAGGAACGGCCCGCGUCCGAUUAGCUAGUUGGUGAGGUAAUGGCUCACCAAGGCGACGAUCGGUAGCUGGUCUGAGAGGAUGACCAGCAUCACUGGGACUGAGACACGGCCCAGACUCCUACGGGAGGCAGCAGUGGGGAAUAUUGGACAAUGGGCGCAAGCCUGAUCCAGCCAUGCCGCGUGGAUGAUGAAGGCCUUAGGGUUGUAAAGUCCUUUAACGGGGAAGAUAAUGACGGUACCGUAGAAUAAGCCCCGGCUAACUUCGUGCCAGCAGCCGC